rnacentral:rRNA from 1 species
AGAACGAACGCUGGCGGCAGGCCUCAAACAUGCAAGUCUAGGGGGUGUAGCAAUACAUCACCGGCGGACGGGUGCGUAACACGUGGGAAUAUACCUUUUGGUUCGGAACAACGCAGGGAAACUUGCGCUAAUACCGAAUGUGCCCUUACGAGGAAAGAUUUAUCGCCAAAGGAUUAGCCCGCGUAGGAUUAGCUAGUUGGUGAGGUAAUGGCUCACCAAGGCUCCGAUCCUUAGCUGUUCUGAGAGGAAGAUCAGCCACACUGGGACUGAGACACGGCCCAGACUCCUACGGGAGGCAGCAGUUGGGAAUCUUGGACAAUGGGGGAAACCCUGAUCCAGCCAUGCCGCGUGAGUGAUGAAGGCCUUCGGGUUGUAAACUCUUUCGACGGGACGAUAAUGACGGUACCCGUAGAAGAAGCUCCGGCUAACUUCGUGCCAGCAGCCGC